AUGGGAAUGCUACUUCAUCUAUCUGGUUUUGGUGUUGAUCUAUUGCUUGACAUAAUGCCAUGUGAUGUGAGCUUCCUGCGUCGAUGCUUCCUCGUCUUUCUUCCGACCAUUUUUCACGUCGAUUGGGGUAGCCGGGUAGAGCUGGGGGAAUGCUUCCUGUUUUGGCCUUGUCUCUGUCGCAGAGAUACAAGCAUAAAUUAUAUUUUAUACCCUCUUCGUUUAAAAAUAUUUGUCCGGAAAAUGAAUGUAUCUAAACGUAUUUUAGUUUUAGAUACAUCCAUUUUUAUUCAUUUCUCCACAAGUAUUUGCGGACGGAGGGAGUAUUAUAUUACAAUAAUUAAAGUGGCUAAGCUAGCCCUUAUCAUAUGCAUUUCACGUUGUAGCUGCUGCUUCAUCUCUAAGUGA
rnacentral:rRNA from 1 species